rnacentral:rRNA from 1 species
AUUGAACGCUGGCGGCAGGCCUAACACAUGCAAGUCGAGCGGAUGAAGGGAGCUUGCUCCUGGAUUCAGCGGCGGACGGGUGAGUAAUGCCUAGGAAUCUGCCUGGUAGUGGGGGAUAACGUCCGGAAACGGGCGCUAAUACCGCAUACGUCCUGAGGGAGAAAGUGGGGGAUCUUCGGACCUCACGCUAUCAGAUGAGCCUAGGUCGGAUUAGCUAGUUGGUGGGGUAAAGGCCUACAAAGGCGACGAUCCGUAACUGGUCUGAGAGGAUGAUCAGUCACACUGGAACUGAGACACGGUCCAGACUCCUACGGGAGGCAGCAGUGGGGAAUAUUGGACAAUGGGCGAAAGCCUGAUCCAGCCAUGCCGCGUGUGUGAAGAAGGUCUUCGGAUUGUAAAGCACUUUAAGUUGGGAGGAAGGGCAGUAAGUUAAUACCUUGCUGUUUUGACGUUACAACAGAAUAAGCACCGGCUAACUUCGUG